UAAAUCAGGCCCUGAUUAGAGGGGAAUCACCCACCUGGUGUCUCAGGUCUAAAUCAGGCCCUGAUUAGAGGGGAAUCACCCACCUGGUGUCCCAGGUCUAAAUCAGGCCCUGAUUAGAGGGGAAUCACCCACCUGGUGUCCCAGUUCUAAAUCAGGCCCUGAUUAGAGGGGAAUCACCCACCUGGUGUCUCAGGUCUAAAUCAGGCCCUGAUUAGAGGGGAAUCACCCACCUGGUGUCCCAGGUCUAAAUCAGGCCCUGAUUAGAGGGGAAUCACCCACCUGGUGUCCCAGGUCUAAAUCAGGCCCUGAUUAGAGGGGAAUCACCCACCUGGUGUCCCAGUUCUAAAUCAGGCCCUGAUUAGAGGGGAAUCACCCACCUGGUGUCUCAGGUCUAAAUCAGGCUCUGAUUAGAGGGGAAUCACCCACCUGGUGUCCCAGGUCUAAAUCAGGCCCUGAUUAGAGGGGAAUCACCCACCUGGUGUCCCAGGUCUA